UCCUCUUCCUCCCCAGGCCUCUUUGUGCCCCUCUUCAGUGUCGUGGUCCUCGGGCCGGACUGUGGUGUUUGCCACCCGGGGAGAACCUUGUCCUGCGCAGAGCUUCAGCCGGAUCUCAGGGGCACCGGUCACCUGAUUGUGACCUUGGACAGUUCACCUUGAGGAGCCCGUGAUCUCUUCAGUGAAACAGGUCCCACCGAUACAGACUGAACGCACGGCGAGCGGUCUGCGCCUGGAAGGCCCUUCUCCUUUAUUCGAGGCUUAGGCGUCACCUCCUUGAGGCAGAGACUCUCCUAAUAGUUUGCUAUUGCAGCAUCCAGAAAAUGCUCAGGUGUCGAGUGAGCCAAAGCCACCCCAAGGGCAGUUCUGGACGCGGAGCUGCAACCACCACAGCUUGAGAGAGGCCGAGUGACUUAUCCGAGAUAGCCAGACUCUACAGUGGUCCUGUGACCCGACACCUCCUUGUUCACCCCCCCAC